rnacentral:rRNA from 1 species
GACGUAGGGGGCAAGCGUUGUCCGGAUUUAUUGGGCGUAAAGGGCUCGUAGGCGGCUUGGCAAGUCGGGUGUGAAACCUCCAGGCUCAACCUGGAGACGCCACCCGAUACUGCUAUGGCUAGAGUCCGGUAGGGGACCACGGAAUUCCUGGUGUAGCGGUGAAAUGCGCAGAUAUCAGGAGGAACACCAGUAGCGAAGGCGGUGGUCUGGGCCGGUACUGACGCUGAGGAGCGAAAGCGUGGGGAGCAAACAGG